rnacentral:rRNA from 1 species
GACGAACGCUGGCGGCGUGCUUAACACAUGCAAGUCGAACGGAAAGGCCCUGCUUUUGUGGGGUGCUCGAGUGGCGAACGGGUGUGUAACCCGUGAGUCACCUGCCCUUGACUUUGGGAUAUCUUCAGGAAACUGGGGCUAAUACCUGAUAGGAGCUCCUGCUGCAUGGUGGGGGUUGGAAAGUUUCGGCGGUUGGGGAUGGACUCGCGGCUUAUCAGCUUGUUGGUGGGGUAGUGGCUUACCAAGGCUUUGACGGGUAGCCGGCAUGAGAGGGUGACCGGCCACAUUGGGACUGAGAUACGGCCCAGAGUCCAACGGGAGGCAGCAGGGGGGAAUAUUGCACAAUGGGCGGAAGCCUGAUGCAGCAACGCCGCGUGCGGGAUGACGGCCUUCGGGUUGUAAACCGCUUUAGCCUGUGACGAAGCGUGAGUGACGGUAAUGGGUAAAGAAGCACCGGCUAACUACGUG